rnacentral:rRNA from 1 species
UGCAGUCGAACGGACUUACAUUGAAGCCUAGCGAUAUGUAAGUUAGUGGCGGACGGGUGAGUAACGCGUGGGUAACCUGCCUUGUACUGGGGGACAACAGUUGGAAACGACUGCUAAUACCGCAUAAGCGCACAGCUUCGCAUGAAGCAGUGUGAAAAACUCCGGUGGUACAAGAUGGACCCGCGUCUGAUUAGCUGGUUGGUGAGGUAACGGCCCACCAAGGCGACGAUCAGUAGCCGGCCUGAGAGGGUGAACGGCCACAUUGGGACUGAGACACGGCCCAAACUCCUACGGGAGGCAGCAGUGGGGAAUAUUGCACAAUGGGGGAAACCCUGAUGCAGCAACGCCGCGUGAGUGAAGAAGUAUUUCGGUAUGUAAAGCUCUAUCAGCAGGAAAGAAAAUGACGGUACCUGACUAAGAAGCCCCGGCUAACUACGUGCCAGCAGCCGCGGUAAUACGUAGGGGGCAAGCGUUAUCCGGAUUUACUGGGUGUAAAGGGAGUGUAGACGGUUUUGCAAGUCUGAAGUGAAAGCCCGGGGCUUAACCCCGGGACUGCUUUGGAAACUGUAGGACUAGAGUGCAGGAGAGGUAAGUGGAAUUCCUAGUGUAGCGGUGAAAUGCGUAGAUAUUAGGAGGAACACCAGUGGCGAAGGCGGCUUACUGGACUGUAACUGACGUUGAGGCUCGAAAGCGUGGGGAGCAAACAGGAUUAGAUACCCUGGUAGUCCACGCCGUAAACGAUGAUUACUAGGUGUUGGUGGGUAUGACCCAUCGGUGCCGCAGCAAACGCAAUAAGUAAUCCACCUGGGGAGUACGUUCCCAAGAAUGAAACUCA